UUUUUUUUUUUUUUUUUUUUUUUUUUUUUCUCCUGGCAUUUAAUGAUAUCCAAAUAUAGCACUGCAGUGCUAGAUUUUUGUUGCAAAAAGAAGUAGAUUGCCACAGGGUUAUUGUCAUGUCCUGAAUAAGAUCAGGUCCUUGCCCAUAGUCUCAUAUAUUACACAUAGUGAGCCCUAAUAUCCCUUCCUGACCUAAAUGUCUGAUGUGGUCAAACCCUCACAAAGCACAGCAAGUCACUGAACAGAGUGUGAGGAGGGCCCCCUCUUCUGACUAAGGCCAUCACAAGCCAAAAGUUAUUGCUCCUCCUGGACUACUCAAAAUUACUCUUAACCUGUUAAAAAUCACCCAUUUAGGAAAAAAUGCUUUUGUUAAUGAAUAUAAAUGCUGUUUCUAAAAUCUUAUCUAUAUGGUCAGGUUUUGAACUUUCCCAUUCUAAAUAUUUCUCAAAUAUUUGUUUCUCUACUAAUCUCAACAGGGGUGAGGAGGUGAUUUUUUGGGUGUGGGGUGGGGUAUUUUCCUUUUCUGUUAUAAGAUUUUUUUGUGUGUGUUUGUUUUCUUUGUAAAAUUAAAUUAGUGCAACUUGAGCAGGAUAUGAUAUUGUGAAGAUAUCCUAAAAAUAAAGAAUUAAUAUGGUUGAGACAGAGUGCAGUCAAACAACUAAGGUGACAGCAAUUAAAAGGACAAAAUAAAUUUGUAAAAGUGUCAGCUAGAUUCAGGAAAAAAAAUGGUACAUCACCCAGAAUUUUUAAAUAUCCUUAGUACUGAUUGCACAGUUAAUACUUUAAAGAUUUCAAUACUGUCACCUUUAGGAUAUACAGCAAAGCAGAUACAUUGCUAAACUCUGCCAUUCUAAAUUGAAUUGCCCCUGUAUAAAAGCAGAGUUAACUAGUGAGAGGAUUCACUAAUUUUAGAAAAAUAUUUUCUUUCCAUUGCUAUGAAUUGCAAAGGACUUUAAUUUUUUUUUUUUUUUAAAUUAUUAAUAUCAUUAACAUGGAGAUUCUAUUGCCAUAAACCUGCUUUAGUGAAUGGCCGAGAAACCAAAUAAAGACUUUGCAGCAAAGAUAAAAUAUUAGCUUAUAUGAACAUCAACUGGAAGUUUAGCACUUCCCUCCUUGUAAGAAAUUUAGCACAGAUGGCAAAGGGAAUAUGUUUAAGGAUUUUAUGGAAAUAAUGAUGAGUUCAGUCAUACAACUGACUUAAAUAAGAUCUUGUUUGAAGCAGGAUUUUUUC
rnacentral:lncRNA from 1 species